rnacentral:miRNA from 1 species
CGUCUUACCUGUUCAAUAUUUAGA